UAGCUUAGUGGUAGAGCACUUGCCUAGCAUGCAGGAGGCCUUGGGUUCAAUCCCCAA
rnacentral:tRNA from 1 species